rnacentral:lncRNA from 1 species
AAUGGAAGCAAGGUGACUUCCAACUCACUACUAAGGUUCGGAAUCCUACCCUUGAAACAAGUAUUGACAUCUUUCAUCUUUGCUAGAUAUAUCCACGCCUGCAUGUUAAAUCAGAUUUUCAUGUAAUUUCUUUUUAAAAAGAAAAAUCAAAGUUAAUGUUGAUGGCUUUGCUUGGAAUUGAAACAAAAAUGGAAAGCCAGAUUAUAAAAAAAGGUUAUGAUCGUAAGGGCUGGUAUAGUAGACACUGUAGCUUGUUGAAAUGUGAUGACCAGGUUGUAAAUUACGGGAUUUGUAUAACGCUGCUUAGGAAGGAGCUCUGCUUUAACUUUUGGUCUUCUAGUUCGAUUUCUGCUUUAGCUUUACUCAGGAGAAAACUUUACAUUCUUUCUUGUUGGCUCAGUUUAGUCGAAAAUCCGUGGGCAUCAUUGGUCUAGGUAGAAUUGGGACUGCCAUCGCAAAGAGGGCUGAAGCCUUCAGCUGCCCAAUCAAUUACUACUCAAGAACAGUGAAGCCUGACGUAGCCUACAAGUAUUAUCCAACGGUGGUUGACCUCGCUAAAAACUCAGACAUCCUUGUGGUGGCAUGCCCUUUGACAGACGAGACCACACACAUUGUGAACCGGCAGGUGAUGGAUGCAUUAGGAGCAAAGGGUGUGCUGAUAAACAUAGGCCGUGGACCACAUGUUGACGAGCAAGAGCUUGUAAAAGCUCUAACAGAAGGCCGGCUGGGUGGAGCUGCCCUGGACGUUUUUGAGAAAGAGCCUCACGUGCCUGAGGAGCUCUUUGGCCUUGAAAAUGUCAUUCUCCUCCCUCACGUGGGGAGUGGCACUGUGGAGACACGUAAUGCCAUGGCCGAUCUUGUGCUGGGUAACCUGGAAGCACACUUUUCUGGGAAGUCGCUUCUGACUGCGGUGGUCUGAAUAAUAAUACACUUGAGAUUUGGUUUCAUUUGAAAGACUUUUCAUUGACUCAUUUCUCACCACAUUAAGAUACACUGUCGUACUUUACCAAAAAAAAAAAAAAAAAAAAAAGAUGCACUGUCGUAUAUAAGGAAUAAUAAAUUUUGAACACUAGUUGAAACACAAGCCAAAACCUUACAAAAUUUGUUUUUGUGUUCAAUAUAUUUUUAGCACAUUACGUUAGAACUUUGUUAACCCAUAACUUAACAAUACCGUUUGCCAGUCUAAUCACCAGAAGACUUCAUUAUCAGGUGAACAUAUAUAUAAAAGGUAGAGAGAAAAGUAUGACAUAACACAAACACCAAGCACAGGAAAAUAUAAUUGCUCAACAAUCACUUUUUUAGCGAAACACCAAGCACAUGAAAAUAUAAUCGCUCAACAAUCACUUUUUAGGGGAUUGGUGGUUGGACAAAGGUUGCAAGUUGCAAUUUACCUUAACGCUGCCAAAUCUUUGAAAUACAUCCUUGAGAACCUCAGAGCCAACAGAAUCACUGCUGUUCCAUGGGGGAACCACAAGAUGAUUAUCAUUUCUCUCCUUGCACAUGAUUUAUCUGUGCGGGAAUCUCCAGUUUCCUUCUUUCUAUCAUUUUCUUCCAAUCUCUCCACAAUGCCUGUCUUUUUAUCUUCCUGUUCUCUGAUUUUACUGUUGCUUAGAGAGCAGUUCAUAUAUAUUUUUAGAGAUGAAAAGUAUUGAAAAACGAGAAAGUACCUUUGAUCAUUACUUUUUCUCCAAUGGCUAUCCAUUUCAAUGUGAAUUUGACAAGCUGACCUCUGUGGAAUUCGUAGCAAUACAUAUGAGCCAACUAGCAUUUCAUCAAUCAAGAAGCACUUUGGUGACACAAAACAAAUAACAAACUGACUCAUUAUGUCUAGGACUUGAGCCUAAUUUUCCGAGUUGACAGUCAAAAUCAAUCCUGUAUAGCAAACAGGAAUAGUCCGGUCAUGCCAAUCUGCUACAUACGAAAAGCAAACACAAACCAUCAUACUUACUUUGGUAUUAGUACUAACUUGGCGCCGGCAUCUCUGCCCUGGUUGAGGAAUUCAUCUCUGGGAAGAUUGCUGUCGCUGAAGUAGAACUCCACCUUCCACCUUUAUUAUAUUAAACAGUAGAAGGGAUCGGGGGAAUAAGAGAUGAAAAUGAAGGAAGGCUAGAGAAAAUUGCAGACCUCCUGGUCCUGGGUAAGCAACUUGCUGGGGGUUUCUUCGUUGAAGGAAGCCAGCGAUUGGCGAGGAAGAGAGAAGAGGGGUUGGAUCUGAUACAUUAAUAGGCCCAUCUACUUAUUAAGCCUAGUUGAUUAUACACUGAAAGGCCCAUCCUUUAAUUUAAUUGGGCUUGAAAGGCCCAUCCUUUAAUUUAAUUGGGCUUGAAAGGCCCAUCCUUUAAUUUAAUUGGGCUUUUCAAUCUUCCAUUCGAGCCCAUCAAAAGCUGAACUGGAG